AUUGAACGCUGGCGGCAGGCCUAACACAUGCAAGUCGAGCGAGCGGCGGACGGGUGAGUAAUGUCUUGGAAACUGCGUGAUGGAGGGGGAUAACUACUGGAGACGGUAGCUAAUACCGCAUACCAUCAGAUGUGCCCCUAUGGGAUUAGCUAGUGGGUGUGGUAAUGGCUCACCUGGGCGACGCUCACUAGCUGGUCGCAGAGGAUGACCAGCGACACGGGAAUUGGGACACGGUCCAGACUCUUACGAGAGGGAGAAGUGGGGAAUAUUGAAGAAUGGGCGCAAGCCGGAUGCAGCCAUGCCGCGGGUGUGAAGAAGGCCGUCGGGUUGUAAAGCACUUUCAGCGGGGAGGCGGUACCAGCAGAAGAAGCACCGGCUAACUCCGUGCCAGCAGCCGCGGUAAUUC
rnacentral:rRNA from 1 species